GAUUGUCAAGUACUCUAUGGUUACGUUUGUCAGUUAGGACCAUUUCAAAUAUUUGGCUUGAAUAGAAAAUGUUGGCAAACAUGGCACCAGCAAAAUGUUGGUGAACAUACCGCACAUAGAUCCAAAAUACAAUAUUCUCCUGGGAAGCCGUAACGGCGCACCGUGUAAUCAAGUGUAGUACAGCGAUGCAUCAGAUGUUCGUGUUACAGUGCGCUCCGAAGAUGUGCCAUGCAAUGUUGGCCAGCGCAACAAAGGUGCAGGAAGCAAAAUGUAAAUUAGUGCAACCACGAUAUCACCCCCAAAAGCACAAUGCAGACGAACACUGCGGAAAAUCAUUAAUAUCUGGCAGAUUGCAGCUUGAAACACAACCGUUAAAAACACGGCAAACGUCAAUCAACAAUAAACAAAGGGGCGAAUAUUGUCAAAUGUUAGUGACCUCAAUCCGGAGAAUCCAAUAAAAAAAUAAGACCAACUAAUUAAACGUUCGGUGAAAUGACUCCCAGCUAAAUCCUCACCGGAUGGAGAUCUGGAGAGCAUAUUCAAAAAGUAACACUCCGACAAGAAUUAUGUGAUGUCGGACAUAUUUUCGUUCUUGCCCAUAUUUCGGAAUGGUUUGACUAGGUGGACAAGUAAGUUGUAUUCACAGAUGAUCACGACAAAUAUACGAAUCGCACGACACGUCAUCCUCAAUUAAUGGAACAGAGCGUCAAGGAUGUCGUACCGUUCCGACAGGAUAAGUUAAAUGCGCUUCUCACAUACGCAUUCGCACGUUCCGUACGUGAAAACUAGAGGCAUUUGUGAAUAGUACAUAAGAACUGCAUGUUAUGAAUAACGAUAGCGAUGAAGACAUAAGUUUUUUCAACCGCAAGCUUUAAGCGGUCGUGUGAAAACAAAUGUUAUGUGUAAAUAUAUUAAGUAACUAGUAUUUAGUAUUGUAUUAGACGAACAAGUGUAAUAGAUUUUGUGUAGCAUAAUAAAGAAUAAUUUAAUUUUAUACUAUAUUGGCUGCCUUUGUCAUAUAAUAGAAUACAUUAUAUCAAGAGCUUCUGGAUUCGUUGCAGAAGUUCAACGAACAGGACAACAUUAAAAUAAGGGAAACGACCAAAGUCUUUCUAGAUGCAGAUCGAUUGCGAUGCAUAGCUUACGCCAUUUUCCAUUAACAAAUACCGGGGUAGUGGAUUGUACUGGUGUUGCGCUUUCUUGCUGAAAUGGGUAUGAAACACGUCCAGUGGCAUGCUCUUUUGCCCGAAAAUGCAAUGCCCUGGGUUUUUCAAUGAAAAACGGCAUUAGUAUUUAGCAGCGGUUAAUGCAAACGACUAAAAGAUUCUCACUACAUAUGACAGGAUAACGGCUACGACGCCGAUUAUUUCUAAUUUAUAGUAACGGUAUUCGACACGACCGAUAGGUGACUAUAAUAAUAGUUUGUUACAUUUUACACAAAUAACACAAGCGUUAAAAAAAAUUAAAAUUUUUGAAAACUGGUGCGAUGGCAAACAUUGACGAUUGAUUAUAAAACUGUUUUCUUGAUAACAUUGAUUAUUAUUUCGUGUCAUGAUCGUUGACGUGCUUGUAUGUUUGCCGCUGUAUUUUCCACGUUUGCACUACGUAUACGAUUGAGGCUAAGUAGAUUCAGUUUUGGGUGGACAUGGUCUGCAAUAGGCACCGAAAACCAAGCAUUGAUUUGUACACCUCGUCCACUACUACUCGUCCGCUACUUGUUCGGCAGCUGCUAAUGUAAAGUGACCAAACAUUUUCGGGACGAAUACGAGACACCAUUGAGAAAACUAACAAGGAUGUACACUUUUCAAGAUAUUUUCAACAUUUUUGUCCUGUCUAAACUGGGACGUCUGAUCACUUUACAUUAUCAACUUACCGCAGCUUUUCAGUAACUCUCCUAACAUAUAAUCCUGGAAUACAUAAAAUCAGUCCAACUCAGUCAGAAUUUUGUGGUUGCAACUUUUUAUUCUUAUAAUUUGAUGGAAGUUCAUCGCAAUCAAAACAACAUUUAUAUUUUGACAGGUUAGCAUUUGAGUGAAUUAUGAAUGAAGAAGAGGGAAUGAUGUUUCGAGUGACAUCCAUCCCAUUCCAUCGAUAGGUCUUUCCGAGCGAAACAGAGUGAGAGCUACAAGUGCAAAUAGGAUGGAACGAUCAAAGGAUAUUCCCCACUCGGAAUUCAUUCAAAUGGUGUAAAAGUAUGGGGAAUCGGGGCAAGAAAGGGCACGAGAAUAUGGGGUGAAACGGGCAGUUCGCAGUUUUUUCGAUUUUUUCAAUAGUUAGAGGCAUCAAAUCGUCGCGGCAAUAUGCAGAGUCGAUUCAGAGAUGAAAAAUGAAGGGGUUUCGCUCAUAAAAAUUUUUGACGAGAAAGGUCUAUUCACAUUGUAUCGUUAUUGCGUAACGAUUAUUGUUGAUUGUUUUUGGUAAUGGACCUAUCGUAUCUAUGGAUACUAUUUCGAAUGGUUUUGAUGGUGUAUUGGUUAUUAUUUGUUUUUCUUUGGUAUGUUUUAUUAUUUUGUUCUUUUUGCACGAUUCACAGGCCUUUAUGAAUCGAGAAAUAGAUCCUUUCAUGUCCUUCCAAUUGUAAUAUUCUCUUAUUUUCAGGUACAAUCGAUGCUGUCCUAUGUGUCCUCCUGUAGGGGUUUUAUGGUGGUUUUUUAAUAUGUACUGUAUCUCGCCAGGAUCACUAAUGAACUUGGGUGGUUGAUAUAUUAUUAUCUGUAUAUUUUUAAUUGUUUGUUUCGCU